AUCCAGACAAAAUUCUCAGCUUAGUAAAUAGAACUCUGAGAAACACAAGAUCAUAAGUGAGUGGUGUGACGUGAUAAUACAGUCAGUGCUAGCCAUUCAUAAUGGAGGAAAUUUCUACAUACAGAGGACACUGACAAACACUAUCAGACACACUCUCACUGAUUUGACACACACUGACAGACAAACUUACAGAAACACACACACUCAGUGACAG